UUUAAUUUAAAGGAACCAAUGAUAUCAUAUAAGGGUAACACACACAUGACGAGGUCAUUGGAAAAAGCAGUUGGAUGAAUUGCUUUCGCAAAGAGUAUACAAUAAGGAGUUUUUAAUCAUAGUACUUCUUAUGGACUGACUCCAUGAUUAAAUAAUUGUGAAUUAUUAGAAUGGUGCUUCUGGACAUAACUGCAAUUACUAUAGCCUAAUUGUAUAUGUCCAACUAGUCCCUCCGCUAAUUCAACAAAAGCUUGAUCGAACUGCAUUUGAAUCAAAAGAAAAUUCUACAACUUUAGAAAUAAUUUAAUUGAUUCGAUUUAUUCGAUGUGAAAUUAAAUUAGGUGGUCAUGAGAAUUAUUCAAUUAGAAAUUUUGAUUAAAAAAUUUUCUUGAAAAAUUAAUUUGAAAAAUCCAAGUGAUUUUUAGAAAAUUAAUUUUGAUCAAGUAAAAUUAAAUUAAUCAAAAUAAUUAAAAUUAAUGUGAUAUUUUUGGAAAUUAAUUUUCAAGUCAAACAAUUGACCCAAUGGGUAAUUGAACUUGAAAAUUGGACUUGAGAUUGUAAAUUGGGUCCGGGAGCCCAAAACUGAAACCAAGACCUAAAAAAUGAUCGAAUUGGGCCCAGUAUGUGAAACCGAACUAACGGUCCAACCGGUGACUAGACCAAACCUGUUAGGCUGUCACUUACCCGGACCGAACCAGCUCGGGGUGUCGUAAGGGUGUUGCACCUAUAUCAUCGGAUAUGGCAGUGUCAUCGGCGGCGAUGGCGAUGUUCCAGCGGUUAACGACAAUUGGUCUUCGGUGGUUGAGUAGUGAAAGAGUUACACUCCUACUGGGACUUUACCAGAGACUUUGAUUUCAGAUUAACUAUUCCAAAAAUAAUAAUAUUUUAAUAGUUUAAAAUUAAAUUAAAUUAAAUUAAAUAUUUAUCUUGUAGAUAAAUAUUAUAUUAUUUUAAUAAUAUUUAAUAUUAAAGUUAUUAAGUUUAAUCAUAGUUGAACUCUCUAAACUCUCCCUAUACAAAGAGAAUAUUGAGUCAUUAUUUUUCACACAAAGAAAGUUGUAGAGAAAAUUUUCUAAAGAAAUUAUUUCAAAAACUUUUAGUAAUAUUUUUUUUAAUUUACAAUUUGAUCCAAAAGUUUAGAGAAAUUACGAAAUUACCUCACUGGUAAUUUUUGCGAAAAAUUUUCUGAUUUGAAGCGAGCCCACACUCGGCAGACGUGAAUUUGAGGAUAACAGAAAAGACUACUGCGUCGAAGAGCUCAUCCUAGAUAAAUCGGAGAGGUACAAUUUUGAUUAAAUGUUUAUUACUUUAGAUAUCACAACUAAGACCUUAUUUUGGAGAAAAUUUUAAAACUCUAUUUUCUCUAAAUUUAUUUUCUUCUGCGUUUUCCAAACCUGUUUUUUCAACACAUGUCAUGUUGAUGUACAAAGACUUUUUUUUAAUAGUAAAAAUAUAUAAUUUUUUUAGUAAAAUGACAAAUUAACUAUUUGAUCUAAUAUAUAGAGACUAAUUCACCUAAGGGCGAAGCCAAAAUAAUUUUUUAGAGCUUAAAUAAAAAAAAUUCAUUUUAGGGGAGAUCAGGUCCCCUACCAGCCCCUAGAUUCGUCUCCAAAUUUACCUUUAAUAGUAAAAAAAAAAAAACAAUUAAAGUCAUAGUAAAAAAUCUUCAUUAUACCUUUACCUCUUCUGCGUAAAGAAUUAAACCUUCGUCCUAGCCCAUCAAAAUGAUCAAGUAUAAAAGCAUUACUUCAUACUCCCUACAGAUAUAAUAUUAAUUCAGAAAUUGCAAUGGAAAUGAUGAUAAUAUAUUAAGCGAUAAUGGAUAUCAAAAAGUAAACAACAACAAAAAAAGAGAAUAAAGAGGACCCACUGAUGAGUUGGAUACAAGGUUAUCCAUAUCCCUAUCUCAGUCAACUUCUUUUCCCCCUCUUCUCUAUCCAUUUGUUCACCCAUUUUUUGUUCUUUGGAUAAUAAUAUGUCAUUUUAUUAUAUUAUUCAAUAAUAGUGUGUAUAAAUACAGUGUAACCCUUAAAAAUAUAGACAUAUUCCAUUGACGACCCUACAGCCAGAUAAAGACACCUUAGCGGCAAAAAAAAAAAAAAAACUGGAAACAACUUAGCGGCAAAAGAUAAAAAAUUAAAACAAGUUCACUUAGGUGGCAAAAAAGAAUUUCCUGAUUUUACUGCAAAUAGUAGCGAAAGUUCCCCCUCUUUUUUCUAAUUAUAAAUAGCACUUCUCACUUUCACAUUAUAUAAUUGAAAACUCGAAACAGUAAGGAAAAAAAAUUGGUCUGUACGGAGUUAUUACCCGAUCUGAUUCCCGGUUUACCAGAGGAAAUCGGAAACGAGUGCUUGACUCGGUUUCAUUAUUCAACUCACAGACUCGCAGUUCGGGUUUGUCGACGACGGCAAGAGCUUCUCCAAAGCAAAGAGUUUUACUAUCACAGAAAGCGUACCG
rnacentral:lncRNA from 1 species